UACGAAGGGGGCUAGCGUUGUUCGGAAUUACUGGGCGUAAAGCGCACGUAGGCGGAUUGUUAAGUUAGGGGUGAAAUCCCGGGGCUCAACCCCGGAACUGCCUUUAAUACUGGCAAUCUCGAGUCCGAGAGAGGUGAGUGGAAUUCCGAGUGUAGAGGUGAAAUUCGUAGAUAUUGGAGGAACACCAGUGGCGAAGGCGGCUCACUGGCUCGGUACUGACGCUGAGGUGCGAAAGCGUGGGGAGCAAAGCAGGG
rnacentral:rRNA from 1 species